rnacentral:lncRNA from 1 species
UUCUAAGUUGACUGCGGAAAGAGCAAAACUAUUAUCAACAUGAUGUCGUGUUCAGUUACUGCACAUUGCAAAGUGAAUGUUCUCUGUGACUGUUACUGCAAUGAUUCACUUGAAAUGAUAUUUCCCACCACCAAUUUAUGGUUAUGAGUGGAAGUUGUCAGCUACUUGCAGAGAAAACUUAGUCCAUUAAGCACUAGACACAUUGGAUACAGCCAGGAAACAAAUGACUGAUAGAUGUAUGAAAAACAGACAAAAAGUUUCUUACAGAUUCAAAGAGUGGGUAAAACAGAACCAUCAAAACAAAUCAUUCUAUUGAC